rnacentral:rRNA from 1 species
UCGGGAAUAUUGGACAAUGGGGGCAACCCUGAUCCAGCGAUGCCGCGUGUGUGAAGAAGGCCUGCGGGUUGUAAAGCACUUUAGUUGGGGAGGAAAGGUAUGUACUGCAUAAGUGCAUGCUGUGACGUUACCCAAAGAAUAAGCACCGGCAAACUCUGUGCCAGCAGCCGCGGUAAUACAGAGGGUGCAAGCGUUAAUCGGACUUACUGGGCGUAAAGGGUGCGUAGGCGGAAGGAUAAGUUAGUUGUGAAAGGCCUGGGCUUAACCUAGGAACUGCAUCCGAUACUGGCAGACUAGAGUGUGGUAGAGGAUGGCGGAAUUCCCGGUGUAGCGGUGAAAUGCGUAGAGAUCGGGAGGAACAUCCGUGGCGAAGGCGGCCAUCUGGACCACACUGACGUUGAGGCACGAAAGCGUGGGGAGCAAACAGGAUUAGAUACCCUCGUAGUCCCUGAGCGGGCUGGCAAGGCGCAU